UGGGGAAUAUUGCACAAUGGGCGCAAGCCUGAUGCAGCCAUGCCGCGUGUAUGAAGAAGGCCUUCGGGUUGUAAAGUACUUUCAGCGGGGAGGAAGGGAGUAAAGUUAAUACCUUUGCUCAUUGACGUUACCCGCAGAAGAAGCACCGGCUAACUCCGUGCCAGCAGCCGCGGUAAUACGGAGGGUGCAAGCGUUAAUCGGAAUUACUGGGCGUAAAGCGCACGCAGGCGGUUUGUUAAGUCAGAUGUGAAAUCCCCGGGCUCAACCUGGGAACGGCAUCUGAUAUUGGCAAGCUUGGUCCUCGUAGAGGGGGUAGAAUUCCAGGUGUAGCGGUGAAAUGCGUAGAGAUCUGGAGGAAUACCGGUGGCGAAGGCGGCCCCCUGGACGAAGACUGACGCUCAGGUGCGAAAGCGUGGGGAGCAAACAGG
rnacentral:rRNA from 1 species